rnacentral:lncRNA from 1 species
UCCAUCUCAUGAUAUAUUAAACAAUAGGAAACAUGAAAAACAGAGAAUGAAAGACUAUCUGCAGGAGCUGGAAGAAAUUGAAGAAAGGGUGGAAAAGAGACCACUGUUGUUGGAACAAGUUACGCAGAAAAAUGCACGGAUAGCAGCAGAAAAGCAUUACUCUGAUACCCUUCGAGAACUGGGACUGUGUGAAGAGUUUGUGUCACAGAAAGGGCAAACUGCCACAAAAGAGCUUUUGCCAGACCUUUCUUGUGAUGGCUCUGAAAGCUGGGCAUCAGAUGGAGGAAGUGACAGUGAAAGUAAAGGUGAAAUUAGCGAAUCGCAGAGAGAGGAGGAGAAGUUGGGACUUCAGUCAGCCAAGUCAUUUGAGGAAGAAGAGCUGCAAGAGCAAAAUGAAGAGGCUGGAUCAGUUUGUGAUGACCAAGCUACUCCUGAGUAUGAAAGUGAAAACCAUGAAGAUGGUUCAGUAGAAGAAUCCAGUGAUGAUGAAGGCUAAUUGAAAUAAUUGCUUGAUUAAAUAAAAUAUGAGAUGGAGAAAAUCUGAUUUCUGGAACCAAUGUUAUUCUAUAGUGCUUUUAAUGUGUAAGUGUGCUCUGAACUUUCAGUUUUCAUACUUGGCUUAACACACUCAUGUCAUUAUGACAUCAUGCACAGUAGCUGGUCUCUUCCAGUUUUCCACUUUUCUAUAUACUUGCUUCCCUUCCUAACUGGUGUGUAUGCUAACUCAGUUCCCUUAUUAUAUAGUCAUAUCAAAACCAGUAUUUCUUUGCAAAAUCUUUAAAACUUUGGAAAUUACUGGUUUUUCAGUUGACCUGACUAUGAAUUGAAUACAAUGGAAAUUCCUGGAUAUAAUAUGUUUGUAUCAUUUGUAUUGACCAACUGUGAAUUCUUUGUUGUACCAUGAUUAAGAGCAUGGGCUUGCACUCUCCAGCUUGAAUUUCAGGUUAACCUUGAACUUGUAGGGUGGUCCUAGAAGAGAAACUAAAUGAAUAACUACAUUAAUUGUAUGCAGCUGUGGCCACCUAAAUAUACUCAAGCUCUUUCUUAGGUGGAUCCUACAACCUUACCCAACAGGAAAAGAACAAGGUACUUAAUUAAGAGCUCUUACUGACUUUAAGCAGCAUAGUUG